UACGGAGGGGGCAAGCGUUAUUCGGAAUUACUGGGCGUAAAGCGCACGUAGGCGGCUUUGUAAGUUAGAGGUGAAAGCCCAGGGCUCAACCCUGGAAUUGCCUUUAAGACUGCAUCGCUUGAACAUCGGAGAGGUAAGUGGAAUUCCGAGUGUAGAGGUGAAAUUCGUAGAUAUUCGGAAGAACACCAGUGGCGAAGGCGACUUACUGGACGAUUGUUGACGCUGAGGUGCGAAAGCGUGGGGAGCAAACAGG
rnacentral:rRNA from 1 species